GUUGUAGUUUUGGUAAAUAACAAGUUUCUAUACUAUCUCCGCCCAAACAAUACCUCCGAAAUCUCAGGGCCCUGCUCCUACUGCCAUCCUCGACUCUCAAAGCUCAACAAAUAAUCCAUCAAUUGAAGAAAGAUGGACUGCAGUAGCGUUCAACAAAAAGAAAGGUAAAAAAGGAUCCUUAUUCCAUCAACCUCACCAUAAGGAGGUAAGUAAUCUCCACAUGAAUACUCCAAUCAACAACAAGGAGGGCAUUAACGUCAAAAUCUUUAGCGCGGAUACAGGGAUCCACUACAGAAAAAGGGGAACCUGCAGAUUAUCCACGAAGAUAGAAGUGCAAAUGUUGUUGCUGACAUACUAGCGAAGGAGGGCCAUAAGUUGGUGCAGGGAGGUUUUUGUGAAGAAUGGAUAGUUCCACCCAUGUUUGUUCGACAUCAGUUGGAAGCAGACAAGGCGGGAACUUCUUCUAUGGGGCACUGUAUGCCACUAUCUCUAGAUGGUUGUAAUUGUAUUAGCAGACAAAUAUGUAUGUGUAGUGUUAGGGUGGACCCUUCCCCAGUUAGAUCUUUGCCUUUGAAAUGUACUGAAGCUUUUAACUUUA